rnacentral:rRNA from 1 species
UGCCUAACACAUGCAAGUCGAACGAGAAAGUCGGUAGCAAUACUGGCAAGUAAAGUGGCGACCGGGUGAGUAACACGUGGAUAACCUGCCACCGAGUGGGGAAUAACCCUGGGAAACCGGGGCUAAUACCGCAUAACACCUCUGGACUUCGGUCCGGGGGUUGAAACCCGCAAGGGGCUUGGUGAGGGGUCCGCGGCCGAUUAGCUAGUUGGUGAGGUAAUGGCCCACCAAGGCUUUGAUCGGUAGCCGGCCUGAGAGGGCGGACGGCCACACUGGAACUGAAACACGGUCCAGACUCCUACGGGAGGCAGCAGUGGGGAAUUUUGCGCAAUGGGGGAAACCCUGACGCAGCAACGCCGCGUGGACGAUGAAGCUUCUUGGAGUGUAAAGUCC